rnacentral:rRNA from 1 species
AUUGAACGCUGGCGGCAGGCUUAACACAUGCAAGUCGAGCGGGGUGAUGGUGCUUGCACUAUCACUUAGCGGCGGACGGGUGAGUAAUGCUUAGGAAUCUGCCUAUUAGUGGGGGACAACAUCUCGAAAGGGAUGCUAAUACCGCAUACGUCCUACGGGAGAAAGCAGGGGAUCACUUGUGACCUUGCGCUAAUAGAUGAGCCUAAGUCGGAUUAGCUAGUUGGUGGGGUAAAGGCCUACCAAGGCGACGAUCUGUAGCGGGUCUGAGAGGAGGAUACGCGACACUGGGACUGAGACACGGCGCAGACUCCUACGGGAGGCAGCAGUGGGGAAUAUUGGACAAUGGGGGGAACCCUGAUCCAGCCAUGCCGCGUGUGUGAAGAAGGCCUUAUGGUUGUAAAGCACUUUAAGCGAGGAGGAGGCUCUUUUGGUUAAUACCCAAGAUGAGUGGACGUUACUCGCAGAAUAAGCACCGGCUAACUCUGUGCCAGCCGCCGCUGUAA